rnacentral:rRNA from 1 species
AAAACAAGUAGUUUGAUCUUGGCUACGAAUUUACGCUAACUAUAGGCCUUACACAUGCAAGUCGGAUGAGAAAACUGGAGCGGAGCCUCGGUCAGGGCAACCAGGGAUCAUGGCAUACGGGUGAGUAUUAAAUAGGAAACUACGAGUUUGGUAGAGAGAAAUACUCUUUAAAAGGGGAACCACCAAACGAUAAGCCUAUCAAAAGGAUUAGGUAGUUGGUAAGGUAAAGGCUUACCAAGCCAAAGAUCUAAAAUCUAGAACUAGAAAUGAGCUAGAUCACAGUGGCGAUGAAAGAAGAGCCACGUGGGCCUUAUAGGCCUGCCAGCAGUGGGGAAUAUUGGACAAUGGGCAAGACGCCUGAUCCAGCCAUAUAGUAAGAGUGAGAAAAAAAAUAAAACUCUAAAGAGAAGUAAAAUAGUGAUACAAGUUUUCUAUUAAUCCUGACUAAUCUCGUGCCAGCAGUCGCGGUAAUACGAGAAGGAUAAGCGUAAUACAUUAUAUCUAGGUGUAAAGGGUCUGUAGGCGGCAAAUAGCUAGAGUGUAAAAGAGGAAAGAGGAAUUAAAUAAGGAGGGAUGAAAUCCGUAGAUAUAAAUUAGGAACAUCAAAGGCGAAAGCAUCUUUCUCAUAAACACUGACGCUAAGAGACUAAAGUGUGGGUAGCGAAAAGGAUUAGAUACCCUAUUAGUCCACACCCUAAACGAUGAGCCUUAUGCUAACGGUAAGGCUCCACCUGGGGACUACUAUCGCAAGAUAGAAACCCAAAAGAAUAGACGGUCUUUAAAACCAGCAGUGAAGCAUGUUGUUUAAUUUGAUAGUACCCAAAUAAUCUUACCAAUAACCUUGAAUAAUUAUGAUCUUUGAUUAUAGUUACAGGUGUUGCAUGGCUGUCUUUAGUUCGUGUUGUGAAAUGUGAGGUUAACUUCAGUAACGAACGGAACCCCUUUUACUAAUUAAAUCUUAGUAUAGUGGGAUUAAGACAAGUCCUUAUGGCCCUUAAGGAUUGGGCUACAGACGUGCCACAAUAGUAGAAACAAUGGUCAGCUGGAUACAGUAAAUAAACCCAGAAAUACUACUAAAGUACAGAUGGAGGCCUGAAACUCGGCCACCUGAAGGAGGAAUUGCUAGUAAUCGUGAAUCACCAUGUCACGGUGAAUAAAUUAUUUUAGAGAUGUACUAAUCGCCCGUCAAGGGCGGGGAGAAAUAGACUACGGAAACUGGGGCGGAAAUUUAGCUAUUCAGAUGCGAACAUAUCUAGCAACCAGCUACUAAUCUAGAUCAACCUGUCUUAAGUCGUAACAAAGUUACCUUAGGGGAACCUGAGGUAGAAUGGUAAAUACC